AGUGUAAUUUAAUAAACUAGAGUAUUAAUAGUUAUAGUCUUUAAACUUAAAAAUUUUGGCGGUAUUUUAGUCUAUUCAGAGGAACUUGUAUUUUAAUCGAUAAUCCUCGGGGGACCUUACUUAAAUUUAUAAAUUAAUUUGUAUACCGUUGUUAUAGAAAAUUUUAAUAGAAAAAUAAUUUUCAAUAAUUUUUAUGAGAUUUUAUAUCAAAUCAAGGUGCAGUUUAUAUUUAAGUUAAUAUGAGUUACAAUAAAUUUAUUUAUAUGGAAAUAAAAAUGAAAGAUUUAUUUAAAGUGGAUUUGAAAGUAAAAUUAAAAAGAGAGUUAAUUUGAUUUUAGCUCU
rnacentral:rRNA from 1 species